rnacentral:rRNA from 1 species
UAGCUAGUUGGUGAGGUAAAGGCUUACCAAGGCGACGAUCUGUAGCGGGUCUGAGAGGAUGAUCCGCCACACUGGAACUGAGACACGGUCCAGACUCCUACGGGAGGCAGCAGUGGGGAAUUUUGGACAAUGGGGGCAACCCUGAUCCAGCCAUGCCGCGUGAGUGAAGAAGGCCUUCGGGUUGUAAAGCUCUUUCGGCCGGGAAGAAAUCGCAUGGGCCAAUACCCUGUGUGGAUGACGGUACCGGAAUAAGAAGCACCGGCUAACUACGUGCCAGCAGCCGCGGUAAUACGUAGGGUGCGAGCGUUAAUCGGAAUUACUGGGCGUAAAGCGUGCGCAGGCGGUUUUGUAAGACAGGCGUGAAAUCCCCGGGCUUAACCUGGGAACUGCGUUUGUGACUGCAAGGCUAGAGUACGGCAGAGGGGGGUGGAAUUCCACGUGUAGCAGUGAAAUGCGUAGAGAUGUGGAGGAACACCAAUGGCGAAGGCAGCCCCCUGGGUCGAUACUGACGCUCAUGCACGAAAGCGUGGGUAGCAAACAGGAUUAGAUACCCUGGUAGUCCACGCCCUAAACUAUGUCAACUAGGUGUUGGGUGGGUAAAACCAUUUAGUACCGUAGCUAACGCGUGAAGUUGACCGCCUGGGGAGUACGGCCGCAAGGUUAAAACUCAAAGGAAUUGACGGGGACCCGCACAAGCGGUGGAUGAUGUGGAUUAAUUCGAUGCAACGCGAAAAACCUUACCUACCCUUGACAUGCCAGGAACUUGCCAGAGAUGGCUUGGUGCCCGAAAGGGAGCCUGGACACAGGUGCUGCAUGACUGUCGUCAGCUCGUGUCGUGAGAUGUUGGGUUAAGUCCCGCAACGAGCGCAACCCUUGUCGUUAAUUGCCAUCAUUUAGUUGGGCACUUUAACGAGACUGCCGGUGACAAACCGGAGGAAGGUGGGGAUGACGUCAAGUCCUCAUGGCCCUUAUGGGUAGGGCUUCACACGUCAUACAAUGGUCGGUACAAAGGGUUGCCAAGCCGCGAGGCGGAGCCAAUCCCAGAAAGCCGAUCGUAGUCCGGAUUGCAGGCUGCAACUCGCCUGCAUGAAGUCGGAAUCGCUAGUAAUCGUGGAUCAGCAUGUCACGGUGAAUACGUUCCCGGGUCUUGUACACACCGCCCGUCACACCAUGGGAGCGGGUUCCGCCAGAAGUAGGUAGCCUAACCGCAAGGGGGGCGCUUACCACGGCGGGGUUCGUGACUGGGGUGAAGUCGGAACAAGGUAGCCGUAGGGGAACCUGCGGCUG